rnacentral:tRNA from 1 species
GGUGUGUUAGCUUAAUUGGUUAAGCAUGGUAGUACGGUUGCCGAGAUUAUGAGUUCGAGUCUCGUACACAUCU